rnacentral:rRNA from 1 species
UUUAUCGGAGAGUUUGAUCCUGGCUCAGGACGAACGCUGGCGGCGUGCCUAAUACAUGCAAGUCGAGCGGACUGAUGGGAGCUUGCUCCCAUCAGUCAGCGGCGGACGGGUGAGUAACACGUGGGUAACCUGCCUGUAAGACUGGGAUAACUCCGGGAAACCGGGGCUAAUACCGGAUAACUCAUUUCCUCGCAUGAGGAAAUGUUGAAAGGUGGCUUUUAGCUAUCACUUACAGAUGGACCCGCGGCGC